GAUGAACGCUGGCGGCGUGCCUAAUACAUGCAAGUCGAGCGAACAGACGAGGAGCUUGCUCCUCUGACGUUAGCGGCGGACGGGUGAGUAACACGUGGAUAACCUACCUAUAAGACUGGGAUAACUUCGGGAAACCGGAGCUAAUACCGGAUAAUAUAUUGAACCGCAUGGUUCAAUAGUGAAAGACGGUUUUGCUGUCACUUAUAGAUGGAUCCGCGCCGCAUUAGCUAGUUGGUAAGGUAACGGCUUACCAAGGCAACGAUGCGUAGCCGACCUGAGAGGGUGAUCGGCCACACUGGAACUGAGACACGGUCCAGACUACUACGGGAGGCAGCAGUAGGGAAUCUUCCGCAGUGGGCGAAAGCCUGACGGAGCAACGCCGCGUGAGUGAUGAAGGUCUUCGGAUCGUAAAACUCUGUUAUUAGGGAAGAACAAAUGUGUAAGUAACUAUGCACGUCUUGACGGUACCUAAUCAGAAAGCCACGGCUAACUACGUG
rnacentral:rRNA from 1 species